UACAGAGAGUGCAAACGUUGUUCGGAAUUACUGGGCUUGAAGCGCACGUAGGCGGCGUUGUAAGUGGCGGGUGAAAUCCCACGGCUCACCCGUGGAACUGCCCGGCAUACUGCGAUGCUAGAGUGUGGUAGGGGAGAGCGGAACUCCUGGUGGAGCGGUGAAAUGCGUAGAUAUCAGGAGGAACACCGGUGGCGAAGGCGGCUCUCUGGUCCACAACUGACGCUGAGGCACGAAAGCGUGGGGAGCAAACAGG
rnacentral:rRNA from 1 species